UGGGGAAUAUUGGACAAUGGGCGCAAGCCUGAUCCAGCCAUGCCGCGUGAGUGAUGAAGGUCUUCGGAUUGUAAAACUCUUUCGCCGGGGAAGAUAAUGACGGUACCCGGAGAAGAAGCUCCGGCUAACUUCGUGCCAGCAGCCGCGGUAAUACGAAGGGAGCUAGCGUUGUUCGGAAUUACUGGGCGUAAAGCGCACGUAGGCGGAUUUUUAAGUCAGGGGUGAAAUCCCAAGGCUCAACCUUGGAACUGCCUUUGAUACUGGAAGUCUCGAGAUCGGGAGAGGUGAGUGGAAUUCCUAGUGUAGAGGUGAAAUUCGUAGAUAUUAGGAAGAACACCAGUGGCGAAGGCGGCUCACUGGCCCGAUACUGACGCUGAGGUGCGAAAGCGUGGGGAGCAAACAGGAUUAGAUACCCUUGUAGUCCCUGAGCGGGCUGGCAAGGCGCAU
rnacentral:rRNA from 1 species